CCCUGCCCCAAACAAUGCCGCCCGCUCCUCUCCGUGCCGCUCCCACUUGCUGGUGGCGGAUGCGGGUGUCUGGGGCACUUUUCUGCUGAGAGUUGCUUUUAGGCACGUAAUCUGUGGGUUUUAUUUAUUGUUUCCCUCCCAGUCAGGUUGCCCUCCUAGAUUCAAACACUUCCCCCAGGCCCGCCGGUGCGAGGGUUUCCUGGUGUCUGGAAACGUCCUCUAAAGACUCGCUUCCCGGACGGAUCUCCGUCCUUAGCUCUUUUGUCUCACUUUUUAUCUUUUAUAUUUUGUCCUACCUCCUUUCGAAGACAAUGGGCUGCUUUUCUGGGCGCCUGAUGACCUCAGCUAGCGAUCAGAAGUUGUUUUGUGAAGUUUGCUCUGCGUUCAGAUAUUCUUUUGAUGAAUUUGUAGGAGAGAAAGUGGUCUCCCCGUCCUACUCCUCCGCCAUCUUGGCUCCUCCUCCGUUUGCUCCUGGAUGCAGACACAUGACAUCUGUUGCCCUGGCACCUGUCAAGUACUGGCCACUCAGCAAAUGUUUGUUGGAGAAUCAAGGACAAAUGAGCAACACCUGGCACAUCCCCGUCCCUAAGGCCCAACCGUGCCAAGACCUCCACCCUGAAAUGAGAUGGAAAAGAAGAUCAGGGAAACAGAGCACAACAUACAUCAGAGCGCGGGGAGAGAGACCAAGUCCCUGAAACCUGAGGAUCCUUUUCCAAAAGCUCACCUGCGUCCUGGAAGUACCAUCCUACAAACAGUCCUUUGAGAACUGACAAACAGCUCAUUGAUUCCAGGAGGGAUCAUAGGUGUUUCUAAAACAGGCUACCCCACAUUGCUAAUUCAUUGAUAAAGGCCCUAUAUCAGGUGGUGCUGGG